CCUACGGGUGGCAGCAGUGGGGAAUAUUGGACAAUGGGCGAAAGCCUGAUCCAGCCAUGCCGCGUGUGUGAAGAAGGCCUUCGGGUUGUAAAGCACUUUCAGUGGGGAAGAAAGCCUUGGGGCUAAUACCCUCGAGGAAGGACAUCACCCACAGAAGAAGCACCGGCUAACUCCGUGCCAGCAGCCGCGGUAAUACGGAGGGUGCGAGCGUUAAUCGGAAUUACUGGGCGUAAAGCGCGCGUAGGCGGUCUGAUAAGCCGGUUGUGAAAGCCCCGGGCUCAACCUGGGAACGGCAUCCGGAACUGUCAGGAUAGAGUGCAGGAGAGGAAGGGAGAAUUCCCGGGGUAGCGGUGAAAGGCGUAGAGAUCGGGAGGAAUACCAGUGGCGAAGGCGGCCUUCUGGACUGACACUGACGCUGAGGUGCGAAAGCGUGGGUAGCAAACAGGAUUAGAUACCCUGGUAGUC
rnacentral:rRNA from 1 species